rnacentral:lncRNA from 1 species
GAUCUACUUUCCAUUCCCCACAAAGCCCCUGGUUUCUGGCAUGGGGUUCAAAUCUGCUCAUUCUGCUUGGUUUAAGUCACACUUUGGGGUCCUAAGGCGCAGUGCACAGCAAUUCUGAGUCAGAAGUCACCUUUGCUUUCUCCUGGCCUCUCAAAGUACGCUCACGCUGCGUUUGAAUUCAUGCGAGUCGGAGUGGAGGGUUUAACAGUACCUGGUGUUCUCAACAAAGGCCAUUGAACCCUGCUUUAAAAACUUUCCAGAGACAAGAGGAUUACACCCAGUAGAGUGUGUGCUGAUUUGGGGGAAGAUUUUAGUGAAGUGUGGAUGAUGCCAUGGACUGCAGUGGGAAAGCCAGUCAGGAAGGACUCGGCAUGGGAAGGCAGGAGGAGUGCUGCUCACUGAACAAGUCUUUUGCAGACCAAGAAGAGCCAUUAUACCAUAGUUUAUUCCAGAUCCAGAAAAGAACACAACCAAGGUUAACCAUCACACUUGGUAAAUGCGUCCUGGGCAAAUCAGAGGGGUUCUGAGCAGAGGAAAUCCACAGCCUCCAGCUAACUCCUUGGGAUUCAUCUCCCCGUCCUUAGGUUUCUGCAUCCUCGAGCUCUGCAAGAACAAUGUUUUCAAAGAAGACUGUGACUCGGUACAUGUUUGCGUAAGGUUCUGGGCUGGAUUCCCAACUCAGAAAAAUCAGUCUAAAACCAGAAAGACAGGAAAGAAGGCUCAAAUCACAGGUCUUCUUAGCCCAGAGGAUAUACAGUUUGCUAAAGCGUCAUUCUAUGAAAGGAAGCAAUAUAAUUCAAGAUAAGGACUUCCUCUCCUCUGUGACCAGAAGACGCAAUCUAGAACCUGGAGAGUUUGCUGUCUUGGCAUUAAUCCUGACUGUGAACGUGAGCUAAGGCUCAGUCUACAACCUACCCAUGUGAGAAAUGACAUUAAUUUUUAUUAUUGAAACUUGUUUUGUGUGAAUUCUGAUACCCUACCCUCAUUGAGUAACAAAACACACAAAAUACUAUUUUCAAGGCUUAUCUCCCCUCUUUCUCAAGUGCCAAAGGUAUAAAUAAUUAGUUAUCCCCCCUCUAUUCUACCUCUUCUACCCAACUCUUUCAUCAACAAUGAAAUCUCAGUAGACACCAGCAUCUUAUCCAUAAUCGGCUUGUGUAUGAUCAUGAACAAGAUGUUUGACUUCUUGAAGAUAUAGUUCUAGUAUCAUUAAAGUAAAGACAAUAUUAGGCACCUUGCUCAUAUACUUGGGGUGGUUAAAUAAAAUCAAAUGUAUGCAAUCUA